rnacentral:rRNA from 1 species
UACAUAGGUCUCGAGCGUUGUUCGGAUUCAUUGGGCGUAAAGGGCGCGUAGGCGGCGGGGUAAGUCUGGUGUGAAAUCUCGGAGCUCAACUCCGAAAUUGCACUGGAUACUGCUCUGCUAGAGGGCUGGAGAGGAGAUCGGAAUUCACGGUGUAGCAGUGAAAUGCGUAGAUAUCGUGAGGAAGACCAGUGGUGAAGGCGGAUCUCUGGACAGCUCCUGACGCUGAGGCGCGAAGGCUAGGGGAGCAAACGGG